rnacentral:rRNA from 1 species
GACGAACGCUGGCGGCGUGCUUAACACAUGCAAGUCGAGCGGAAAGGCCACUUCGGUGGUACUCGAGCGGCGAACGGGUGGGUAACACGUGAGUAAUCUGCCCCUGGCUUUGGGAUAGCCACCGGAAACGGUGAUUAAUACCGGAUACGACCACUUCUCGCAUGGGAUGGUGGUGGAAAGUUUUUUCGGCCAGGGAUGUGCUCGCGGCCUAUCAGCUUGAUGGUGAGGUAAUGGCUCACCAUGGCUUCGACGGGUAGCCGGCCUGAGAGGGUGACCGGUCACACUAGGACUGAGACACGGCCCAGACUCCUACGGGAGGCAGCAGUGGGGAAUAUUGGACAAUGGGCGGAAGCCUGAUCCAGCAACGCCGCGUGAGGGAUGACGGCCUUCGGGUUGUAAACCUCUUUCAGCAGGGACGAAGCGCAAGUGACGGUACCUGCAGAAGAAGCACCGGCCAACUACGUGCCAGCCGCCGCGGUAA